UCAGAGAUUGCCAAGUAAAGCGGGGA
rnacentral:piRNA from 1 species